AGAGCGCAAUGUGGUCUGGAUCACUUCAAGCACAGAUGCCUGAAACCUAAGCCGUAUCUAGAACAUGAUGUUUGGUUCAAGGAGUCAAGAGAAAGGCGAACUACCGUGAGAAGUGCCGAGCAGAUGGAGAGUGGGAAAGAAUGGUGGACCAAGAAGAAGACACAGAGACACAGUCAAAGGACUGCUAUUCAUUAGGACACACAAGAGCUAGAACUAAAAGAGAUGCCAAAGUUAAGGUGGAUGUUAGAACCACUAAGGGUGGUCACAUAUUUAGGACACAUGCUGUGUGCCCCACAUGUCUAACUAAGCACACUACAUAGCACUGGAUCAUUCAGGGUCUAUUUACUUUAUAAAGUAGAGUCCACAGCUUACCUCGUUAUAAAGAUGGCAUGAAAGAUGUGGACAGAGUAAAUAAUGAUCAAAGCUAUUUACAGGCAAGAGCUCAGCACAGACCUUUAAACUCCGAAGAGUCAAAUCCAAGACAAACAAAAGGAAGUUAGACUUGAAAUGGAUGGAUGGAUGGAUGGAUGGAUGGAUGGAUGGAUGGAUGGAUGCAGUGGGCAGUAAAACCUGUGUGGCUCACCACAUCCCCUGACAGUACAAAUUGUAUAGAUUGCAACUCAAGGAAGAUUUAGACUACCUUUUAAAAGGCAAAAUGCAGGACAUGUUAAUAAGAGGACCUUGUAAAUUGUUAUCAACAUGAGAGAGUGUCACAAAGGAUGACAGCAGACUUCUUGUAUCAAUACAUCUCUCUGUUCUAUUUAAAACUUUUGGGCUGGAUGAAUCCAAAUUCUGGCCAUGUGUGGCAUUUACAAUGGAAGCGGUGCAAGAGUACACUAAUUGUAACUACUUGUAACUACGUUAGGCUGAUUGCAAUUUAUAUUAAGCACACGGACUCCUAUUUAAAAACAAAGUUCUACACCCUGGAGAAAUGGAAUUAUUUGGAAAGAUGACCUGCUGAAGAGUCCCAAAAGAGACUUGCCCCAAAGAAAGGAAACAGGAUUCUCUCCCCCAUCCCUUUAGCACCUAUCAUCUAAGUCAACAGUUAUUUGGAGGUUGUUUUGUGACUUUAUAAAUAUAUUUAAAUAUCCAUUUAAAAGCAAAUUCAUUUCAUCCAAGAAACAUCAGGAAAUAAGCUAACAAGAAAGUCUCUCCCAUCAAAACUUACAUACUGGCUUCUCCAGUGCACCAGCCCUCAGGAAACUCAGUGAGAAAGCAGACCUGUCUACCUUCAACCUUGCUCACGGUCUUCAGCUCUGUUGCCCUGAUGUUGCUGGUUUGAACUAAAUGUCCAGCAUCCUACCUUGAAGUUUAAGGCCUCUACCCUAAUUGAAACACUGUAUAUGCUCUGCAAGAACAAAGACCAGAAGAAAAGAUUAGGAGUGGCCACCUAGUUGACAGCAAGCUACUUUUAUCAUGGGCAGGAAAUACAAAAAGAAACAAGUAUGAGAGCUGAGAAGCAACUGAAGCUAAUGAAACACUUGAAGACUUCAUUGGUCUAGAAGGAAAUUUGUGCUUAAAUAUUAUAAAAUUGCUCUUUAAGAAGAUGGGAACCAAAUGUAGUUUUAAAUGUUAGUAUACAUAGCUGAAACAAAGUCCCCAACCCCAAAACAAUAAAGCUAACUGGUCUAUUCUCUGACCAUUCAACUUCUUAUAGCAUGCAAGGAAGCCAGUACUUCCC
rnacentral:lncRNA from 1 species